rnacentral:misc_RNA from 1 species
GAAAUGCGAUAAGUAAUGUGAAUUGCAGAAUUCCGUGAAUCAUCGAAUCUUUGAACGCACAUUGCGCCCUCUGGUAUUCCGGGGGGCAUGCCUGUCCGAGCGUCAUUGCGAUCCCCUCAAGCACGGCUUGUGUGAUGGGCCCUCCCGCGUCUUGGUCGUCAAGACGGGCCCGAAAAGCAGUGGCGGCUUCGCGGUUAUCCGAUCAGCCAGAGCGUAUGGGGACUUUCUCUCUGUCACACGCCCGCGGCGCGGACCGACGCCUGUCGACCUUUAUUCAUCUUUUUCUCGGUUGACCUCGGAUCAGGUAGGGAUACCCGCUGAACUUAAGC